CUGCAGUCAAUUAAGCCAGCUGCACUCCUUUCCUCACAGGGGCUCGGUGUAAUGGCUACAAACAACAGCCUCCUUUGUCGUAUACAUAGCUUGUUUCUUAUAUGGGUUGCUCUAAAGAACAUAGGAGACAGCC
ensembl:snoRNA SNORA70 Small nucleolar RNA SNORA70